CCCUGGCUCAGGAUGAACGCUAGCGGCAGGCUUAACACAUGCAAGUCGAGGGGUAUAGUUCUUCGGAAUUAGAGACCGGCGCACGGGUGCGUAACGCGUAUGCAAUCUACCUUUUGCAGAGGGAUAGCCCAGAGAAAUUUGGAUUAAUACCUCAUAGUAUAGCAGUUUCGCAUGAAACCACUAUUAAAGUCACAACGGCAAAAGAUGAGCAUGCGUCCCAUUAGCUAGUUGGUAAGGUAACGGCUUACCAAGGCUACGAUGGGUAGGGGUCCUGAGAGGGAGAUCCCCCACACUGGUACUGAGACACGGACCAGACUCCUACGGGAGGCAGCAGUGAGGAAUAUUGGACAAUGGGCGCAAGCCUGAUCCAGCCAUGCCGCGUGCAGGAUGACGGUCCUAUGGAUUGUAAACUGCUUUUGUACAGGAAGAAACACUCCCUCGUGAGGGAGCUUGACGGUACUGUAAGAAUAAGGAUUCGGCUAA
rnacentral:rRNA from 2 species